AGCGCGAGGUUCUGCCUAGGGUUUGGAUAUGGGGCGGAGAGGGCCGGGGUGCGAUGGUGGUGCCGUGGAGGUUUAUCGGGCAGCGACCGGAACGGCCGUUCACUCCUCGAACCGGACUGGAGCCGCCGUGGAUGAAAUUGACGACGACAGACUGGCAGAGACAGAAACGAAGAAUGAACUUACGAACCCUAGGAAGAAAAACUUCAUCUAAUUCUACUACUUAUCUACCCAAACUAUACUACUCAAGAACAAACUAUAAUAAUUAUUAAUCAUACACCCCAACUAUACUAUCCGAAAAAUUAAUUUUACAAUUAUGAAUUUACCCUUUUACUCUUCAUUAAAAAAAAACUACGAAAAAGAAAUUGUCACUCCUCUAAUUGAGGGUUCUAAUCCCCUCAAUUUCAGAGGCGAUGGGAGGCGACGUGACACAUAUGGACCCACCGACCAUAGACACACAUAUUAUUUUCUAUCGCUUUACUUUCAUCGCCUCUCAUCGUUUUCUCAUGUCUUGGGUCCACCGACCAUAGACACAACUAUCGCCUCUCAUCGCCUCUCCAAUCAUUGUAAAAAAAUUCAAGAAAAAAACCAAUAUGAAUCUAUGAGUGAACAAUGGAUACAGAUAUGAUGUUAUGGCUGCUCGAAUUAUGUGUAGUUUUAUCUUUCAUUCAAAAAAAAAUCUUCUCAUCACUACGGGAAACACUAGAUUUGCC
rnacentral:lncRNA from 1 species